rnacentral:rRNA from 1 species
UCGGGAAUUUUGGGCAAUGGGCGAAAGCCUGACCCAGCAACGCCGCGUGAGGGAUGAAGUAUUUCGGUAUGUAAACCUCGAAAGAUUGGGAAAAAUAAAUGACGGUACCAUUUAUAAGCUCCGGCUAACUACGUGCCAGCAGCCGCGGUAAUACGUAGGGAGCAAGCGUUGUUCGGAUUUACUGGGCGUAAAGGGCGCGUAGGCGGCGCGGUAAGUCACUUGUGAAAUCUCUGAGCUUAACUCAGAACGGCCAAGUGAUACUGCUGUGCUAGAGUGCGGAAGAGGCAACCGGAAUUCUUGGUGUAGCAGUGAAAUGCGUAGAUAUCAAGAGGAACACCUGAGGCGAAGGCGGGUUGCUGGGCCGACACUGACGCUGAUGCGCGAAAGCCAGGGGAGCAAACG